GUGAAUGCCAUGCGCAUGGUGAUGUCCGCUAUGUUACGUGUGAUGGGAGAGUCUUCAAAUAUAACACCCCGACCAACGUUUACGGUAUCAUGGCAAAGUCUAAUACAACCUGGUUUUGGUAUGUAAUAACAAGACAAGAAUUCUUUGAAGACACCCCGAAGACUCGUCUGUCAGCAGUGAAAUUCAAGAUCUUUUCUUACUUCGUGAUCGUUGACUACAAAAAGAUUUCGAAUCCAGAUGGACUGUAUAGAAUAACGGUCGGAAAUGAUUAUGCAGUUGGUCCGAUAGCGGUUCUUUAUGAAAGUCUUGGUCCUGAUACUGUGGUACCUGGUGAAAAGUUCGUGGGGAACGGUUUUAACAUCUCGGUAAUUGAGAAAGAUGGCGAUUGGUACAUUCAGGUUCGCUGCAUACUUCUGCCAUCCUCCCUGUUCGAUAUUUGGAUACAUGUGGCCCGACAUUGUCUCCAGCUUCACAUUCCUCCGGUCUGGCAAUCCCAGAUAGAAGGGAUAUGUGGGGAUUGGGACGGAGAUCCAGGGAACGAUGUUACGACACUUGACAGCUGGCCACAGGUGACGGCUCCGUUUAGGAGGUUCCCCUAACACCACACGACGCCGAUGACGAUAUUACUCGAUGAUCCAUGGCGUGAUGACCAAAGAACCAAUCAACCAACCGACCAACUCUGUGCAAACUAUGUCUUCUUUCUCCAGUGAUUGAUGUUCAUGUGGAACAAGGGAAGCGCUGGACGCCAUUUUAUGUUUCACAGCCGUAUACUUGGACACAGGUUUACUACUGACCAUGUCACUUAGACUUCUAAAUCCCUAUUCCCAUGGAAUCUCUCUAUCUAUUGACUGACAGAAUUGAGAAAAGUUGAUUUUAGACUCACUUACUUAUUGUUCUUUGGUGAACGUCCACUGGAGAGUUGAAUAUCUACAAAAGGAACGGAAUCAUGGACAAUGGAAGUGAAAUUUGUGGGGGUGCACGCUACUCUUUUGGUGCUACGAUAACUGUUCUAUUUUUUGUUUGUUUGUUUGUUUUAAUUUUGACAGUGGUCCUAAUGCAAUUUCUUGCAUGUGGAUUUUUGUAAUGGGGUUGAAUGAAAUAUAUUGCCGUAUCAGGUGUAUGACAUUUUUUCGAGGAAGUAAACAAAUAUGGAUAAAUUUCCGAACAUAAGAAUGACCAUGACAGAGAAAAACACAUUUGGCACUUAAAAAAAUGCAAUGUGGCGCAAAAGAAA